rnacentral:tRNA from 1 species
GGGCGCGUAGCUCAGCGGUAGAGCAUUCGCUUCACACGCGAAGGGUCACAGGUUCAAUCCCUGUCGCGCCUU